UACGUAGGGUGCAAGCGUUAAUCGGAAUUACUGGGCGUAAAGCGUGCGUAGGCGGUUCUUUAAGUCCGUUGUGAAAGCCCUGGGCUCAACCUGGGAACUGCGAGGGAUACUGAAGAGCUAGAGUGCGGUAGAGGAGGGUGGAAUUCCCGGUGUAGCGGUGAAAUGCGUAGAGAUCGGGAGGAACAUCAGUGGCGAAGGCGGCCCUCUGGACCAGCACUGACGCUGAGGCACGAAAGCGUGGGGAGCAAACAGG
rnacentral:rRNA from 1 species